rnacentral:misc_RNA from 1 species
GUGAAGAACGCAGCGAAAUGCGAUAAGUAGUGUGAAUUGCAGAAUUCAGUGAAUCAUCGAAUCUUUGAACGCACAUUGCGCCCUUUGGUAUUCCUUAGGGCAUGCCUGUUCGAGCGUCAUUUAAACCUUCAAGCUCAGCUUGGUGUUGGGUGACUGUCCGCUUCACCGCGGACUCGCCUCAAAAUUAUUGGCGGCCGGUACAUUGGCUCUCGAGCGCAGCAGAAACGCGUAACUCGAGGUCCUCGUGCUGGCUCCCAGAAGCUAUCUUCACAAUUUUGACCUCGGAUCAGGUAGGGAUACCCGCUGAACUUAAGCAUAUCAAUAAGCGGAGGA